AGUGAACGCUGGCGGUAGGCCUAACACAUGCAAGUCGAACGGCAGCACAGUAAGAGCUUGCUCUUACGGGUGGCGAGUGGCGGACGGGUGAGGAAUACAUCGGAAUCUACUUUUUCGUGGGGGAUAACGUAGGGAAACUGACGCUAAUACCGCAUACGACUUACGGGUGAAAGCAGGGGAUCUUCGGACCUUGCGCGAUCGAAUGAGCCGAGGUCGGAUUAGUUAGUUGGCGGGGUAAAGGCCCACCAAGGCGACGGUCCGUAGCUGGCCGAGCGGGAUGUUCGCCCACACUGGACUGGGAACCCGGUCCAGACCCCUACGGGAGGAAGCGGAGGGGAAUAUUGGCCAAUGAGCGCAAGCCGGAUGCGGCAAUACCGGGUAGGUAAGGAGGGCCUUCGGUUUGUAAAGCCCGUUUGUUGGGAAAGAAGAGCAGCAGGUUAAUACCCCGCUGUUCUGACGGUAACCAAAGAGUAAGCACCGGCUAACUACGUG
rnacentral:rRNA from 1 species